AUUGAACGCUGGCGGCAUGCCUUACACAUGCAAGUCGAACGGUAACGGGCCUUCGGGUACCGACGAGUGGCGAACGGGUGAGUAAUGUAUCGGAACGUACCUUUCAGUGGGGGAUAACGUAGCGAAAGUUACGCUAAUACCGCAUAUUCUGUGAGCAGGAAAGCAGGGGAUCGCAAGACCUUGCGCUGAUUGAGCGGCCGAUAUCAGAUUAGCUAGUUGGUGAGGUAAAGGCUCACCAAGGCGACGAUCUGUAGCGGGUCUGCGAGGAUGAUCCGCCACACUGGAACUGAGACACGGUCCAGACUCCUACGGGAGGCAGCAGUGGGGAAUUUUGGACAAUGGGGGCAACCCUGAUCCAGCCAUGCCGCGUGAGUGAAGAAGGCCUUCGGGUUGUAAAGCUCUUUCGGCCGGGAAGAAAUCGUAUCAGCUAAUACCUGGUGCGGAUGACGGUACCGGCAUAAGAAGCACCGGCUAACUACGUGCCAGCCGCCGCGGUAACAC
rnacentral:rRNA from 1 species